rnacentral:rRNA from 1 species
AGCCUCACUCUAGCCCACUCAUUAUAAAUAAAUACAAAAGGAUAAAAAAUUACUUUCCGCAAAAACCUAAAACAUUUUAGCACCCUAGUAUGGGCGACAGAAAAGGUUUACUUCCACUGGCGCUAUAGAGACCAUGUACCGUAAGGGAAAGAUGAAAUAAAAGUGAAAAACUAAGCAACAAAUAGCAAAGAUAAACCCUUGUACCUUUUGCAUCAUGAUCUAGCAAGAAAAACCAAGCCAAACGAAUUUAAGCUUGACUUCCCGAAACCCAAGCGAGCUACCUGCAAGCAGCUAUUGAUUGAGCGAACCCGUCUCUGUUGCAAAAGAGUGGGAUGACUUGUCGGUAGAGGUGAAAAGCCAACCGAGCUGGGUGAUAGCUGGUUACCUGUGAAACGAAUCUAAGUUCCCAUCUGAUUUUUCUCAAUAUGGAUAACCAACUCCUUUAACCCACCACUGUAGUUAAUCAGGCGAUACUUAAAGGAGGUACAGCUCCUUUAAAAAAGAAUACAAUCUCUCCAAGAGGAUAAACCACUAAAAGUACUUUCCACAUACUUGUAGGCCCUCAAGCAGCCACCAACAAAGAGUGCGUCAAAGCUCCAUAUCCAAAAAUAUGUAAAAUAACAUGACUCCCUACUCACUAACAGGUUAAUCUAUUAUCUAAUAGAAGAAUUAAUGCUAAAAUGAGUAACUUAGGGUCCUUCCCUCUAAAGGCGCAAACUUACAUCCGACAUUAUUAACAGACUUACAAAUAACUAAAACCCAUCACUACUAGACCCAGUAUUAAACACCCUGUUAACCCAACUCAGGAGCGCCAAAAAGAAGAUUAAAAUCUGUAAAAGGAACUAGGCAACCCCAAGGCCCGACUGUUUACCAAAAACAUAGCCUUCAGCUAAUCAAGUAUUGAAGGUGAUGCCUGCCCAGUGACCCUGUGUUCAACGGCCGCGGUAUCCUAACCGUGCAAAGGUAGCGCAAUCAAUUGUCCCAUAAAUCGAGACCUGUAUGAACGGCUAAACGAGGUCUUAACUGUCUCUUACAGAUAAUCAGUGAAAUUGAUCUCCCCGUGAAAAAGCAGGGAUAGCCCCAUAAGACGAGAAGACCCUGUGGAACUUUAAAAUCAGCAGCUACCCAUAACCUAACAAACCCUCCUACACUAGGUUAACCAUCUAAGUAAGUUAGCUCGCAUUUUUCGGUUGGGGCGACCUUGGAGAAAACUAAAUCCUCCAAAAAUUGGACCACAUCUCUUAACCAAGACCUACACCUCAACGUGCUAAUAGCAACCAGACCCAAUACAAUUGACCAAUGAACCAAGCUACCCCAGGGAUAACAGCGCUAUCCCCUUCAAGAGCCCAUAUCGACAAGGGGGUUUACGACCUCGAUGUUGGAUCAGGACAUCCUAAUGGUGCAGCCGCUAUUAAGGGUUCGUUUGUUCAACGAUUAACAGUCCUACGUGAUCUGAGUUCAGACCGGAGCAAUCCAGGUCGGUUUCUAUCUAUGAUUAACUUUCCUCAGUACGAAAGGACCAGGCAAAGUAAGGCCAAUGUAUUAACUCCACGCCUUCCUCCAAAGUAAUGAUAACAUCUUAAUUACCAAAGAGACAUUCCCACACCAUACAUCCUAGAAAAGGAUAC